UGGGGAUCGGAGCACGGGCUCAGACUGUUCUUAAUCUGAGUGAGCCGGAGAGAUCGAGGUGAAUUUAUCCAAUUACACAUGACAGACAGCAGACAAGAAAGACUGUGACUGUGACGAGGGGACAUCCUCUGCGUCUGGAGGAAAGAAGGGAUGACAAUUGUUUCUGCUGCCGGUUGGUUCAGAGAUCGAGGUGGCUGAAGCCAGUGAUUGAGGAAACGGCCUCUGGAAAAGAGAUUGUGUGUGAACCUCUAGGAGAACGGACCUACUCCCUGAUUCUGGGACUGCAGCUUUUGAUUAACUUUGGGAACAGCACAUAAAACGCUCUGUUUAGAAGA